AAUGAUGGUUUAGUCGCUUUUCAUUAUAAGUCUUAUGGGGCUUUUUUGAUACACUGAAAAAGCUCCAUAAUCUCUGUGGGGGAUUUACCCACUACAGAAAUUAUAGAGCC
rfam:Streptococcus gallolyticus strain ICDDRB-NRC-S1, complete genome.